rnacentral:sRNA from 1 species
UUAAAAGAAUAUUGGCAGAGAAAGAGCCUUGGUGUUCCAGCAGGAGCUAAGAGGAACAGGAAAACAAAUGGCAGUAGCCCUGAAACAGCCACUUCUGGUGGUUGCCAGUCACCUGAGGAUUCAGCAACAGGUGUCCAUGGGGAGGGAUCUACAUCAUCUGCUCCCCUGAAGGAUCUGGAGAGCCCGUGCCAAGAACUAGCAGUCGUCCUGGACUCAAGGUCCGUAAAAAUCAGUAAACUGAAUAACACCAUCAAAUCUUUGAAACAACAGAAGAAACAAGUGGAACAUCAGCUGGAAGAAGUAACGUGAUUUCUUUGUUGCUCGACAUGACUGCUGGUUUGGGGGCACUCAGAUGUAGAAGCCCCAGUCUCGUCUCACCCACUCCCAGCCUGGCAAAGAAGGCUCACCCUUCAGAUUCCACCCCAUCCCCACAGGGUCCCUGAUAAACUGGUCCCAUGGGUGGGCCUGUCCUGGGGCAUUGGUGGCAUUCUGGGGGCAUGUCUCUUGCUGUGCCUUCUCUGCCUGCCCCUGGUAAGAGCUUUGUCUUCCUCUUCCUACAGGAAAAGAAGGCAAACAAUGAGAAACAGAAAGCCAAAAGGGAGCUAGAGGUUCAAAUCCAGAGAUUGAAUGUACAGAAAGAGAAACUAAAUACGGACCUGUAUCACAUGAAAUGUUCUCUCAGAUACUUUGAAGAAGAGUCCAAGCAUCUGGCUGGCUGCCUGCAAUAUACAUUGCAGUGUAAGGAGAGUUAGAACGGGCUCUCUGUGCUGUCGCCGCCACCAGAGAAGAAGGAUGGCAGUUCUCGAGCCUCAGUAAAGCACUUAUUGAGUGGCAUUUAGAGCAGUCCAUACAGGAGAAGGCACAGCUGAAAGCACACCUGACACAGUUGAAAGAGUCGCUUAAACAAGUCCAGCUAGAGACAGAUGAAUAUGCUCAACAUAUAAAAGGAGAGAGGGCCCGGUGGCAGCAGAGAAUGAGGAAAAUGUCACAGGAGGUUUGCACAUUGAAAAAGGAGAAGAAGCAUGAUACACAUCGGCUACAGGAGCUGGAGAGGAGCUUGUCCAAACUCAAAAACCAGAUGGUGGAACCCCUGUCCCUGGAGCCCCCAGCAGUGCCCUCUGAGGUGGAGCUGCAGCACCUGAGGAAGGAACUGGAGAGAGUGGCAGGAGAGCUCCAGGCCCAGAUUGAAAACAAUCAGCUCAUAAGUUUCCUGAAACAGGAGCAAAAGGAGAGGCUCCAGGAGCAGGAGGAGAGGCUUCAGCAGCUGGUCGAGCCACAGAGUGGCUUCAAGGAGCUGAACAACGAGAACAAGAGCACACUGCAGUUGGAGCAGCAAGUAAAGGAGCUGCAGGAGAAGCUGGAUGAGGAGUGCCUGGAAGCUGCCAGCCAGCAGAACCAGCAGCUACAGGCCCAGUUAAGCCCACGGCUCUCCCUGGGGAAGAACUCCUGGCCGCUGCCCAGAACCCUGCUGAUGAGCCUGGUCCAGGAGCCCCAGCCCCCCAGGAGCUUAGGGCUGCUGACAAGCAUGGUGAUCUUUGUGAGGUGAGCCUCACGGACAGCAUGGAGCCUGUGCAAGGAGAGGCCAGGGAGGGUGCUCCCCAUGACAACCCUACUGCACAGCCAAUCGUGCAGGAGUACCAUGAGCACCUAGGCUUGGGCAGCAACCCCUGUGUGGCAUUCUUUUGCUGGGCUUGGCUGCUAAGAAGAAGGAGAUAAAUAUCACCAUCAUCAAAGAGCUGGUCAACAAAUUUUUUAAAAAGAAACAAAGUUACGGGGUUAACUCCUACACAAUGCAUUUACUUCAUUUGAAUGUUAGAGCCACUCAUGAUUAUUUGUGUUUCUAAUUUAUAGUUUAAGUUUAUUUGUAAAAAGUUAAAAGACAGUGGGUCUCUGUGGCUUUCACUGAUGUUCACUCUGGCAUCCUUAGCAUUUUUCUUUUUUAAUUUCAUAAUUGUAGGUCAUUAGCAUUCAUAUCGAGUUUGCCCUUAUGUGGUAGGAGUUCAAACACACAAAGACCCACUAUUUGCCCAAAACUAUUCUUGUUGGUUUGGAAUAGGCUACCAUGCUUUUUAAAUGUUAUUGCAGCAUGUAUAUUCAUUACAGAAUUCAGAUAAAAUUUGCUUAUGUUCUGCUAUUUUUUGAUCUAAUCUUAAUCACAGUGAGCUCUUCAUUAGCUCAAUAUGUGGUUUGCCCCCAAGUGUGCACUGUUUAUUACUUUGUAAUAUGCCACUAUGAGUACUGACAUUUAGAGUUGUUUAAAGGCUGAGAAAUGGAAACCGCCUGUUCCCCAUUUUCUGUGUACUGUGACGGGAGUAAUAAUAUAUUGGAGGAGCUUUUUAAAUCUCACAGAAGAGGAAAGUGGCCUGCUCUGGCAGGUAUAUGCAGUACACAGUGUUUCAUUUGUUCCAGUGCCAAGAAUUAGCGCUGUACUAUGGUAGUUACCUUAGGAUUUGUAUGUGCUCUGGGCUCAUGAAGAUAUGGCAUCAUGAGCUGCAGCAGUUGUACUCUUUUUCAAUGACCUAAAAAGGGAUUAUUUCUGAGGAAUGAAAGGCUCCCGUCAUUGACUGUGGAUGUGGAAAACCUUUCCUAGCUUAGAGCAUUUGUAUCUAUAAUACAUUUUAAAGUGAGAGUUCAUGUUACCUGUUUUAAUCACAUGACUUCCUGUCCCAGUACACAAAAGGGCACUGGUUGGCAUUCUUCUUAAUGUAUUUAGUAAAGAUCAGAAGAAAUCCUUUAUGAGUUUAAAUGUCCCUGGAAGAGGCAUACAGGCUCUAGUCAAGAAUGAAUUAGGGUGAAGGAAAGCCAUGUGACACCUGGAAUUCCUCUCUGUUCACGGAGCUUCUUUGAGGCUUGAAGAUUGAUUUUACCAUCUAGACCUCUCUGGCUAAUACCUAUUCUUCAACCACCUUAGUUACUCUGACACAGGAAUUUACUUCUUUUCCUUGAAUGGAAAACACUUUAAAAAAUAAUAACAAGCAUUAUUACAAACUAAUAUAUGUGAGAGUACUUAGUUGAAACAAAAAGGAGUUUUAGUAGACAGUAUUACACUAUCUUUGAAAAUCAAGGAGAAGUUUAUGCAACUUAAAAUGUUUACAAACUGCAGUACAAUCUACUGUUUGUGAAUGUCAAUGUAUUAUCAGGAAACAUGUCUAUACAAUCACAGAGUUAUAUUUCCUCACAAAUUUCUUUACAAAGAGUGAAAUAUGUUUUUGUACCUCUCGGUUUCAGUUAGGGACAUAUUUUUUGAAUAUUUAUGUGAUUGUGCCUAUGCAUGAUGAAUGAAUGAAUUUCAGUGAUACAUUGCCUAAAUCAUAACUUAAUGAUGCUUGGGAAAGAAUCAACAGUUAAAACUUCAUGAAGAUCUAAUGUCUGUGUUCCAAAACACAUCACAUUAUUAGGAUGUAGGGAGAUGUGUAUGUGUGCUCCCUGGGGUGGGGAUCUCUAGUUACUAAACCAUCUCCAUUUUUAGCAUUUGGCAUCCUCAUGAUACUUUUAUAAAUAUGACAUUAACAGGAGAGCAACAAUAUGAUUUUACUGAUGGAAUAACAUAUUUGCCUGCAUUCAACAGAGUGCAAAUAUUGGGUCCUUGUGACCUCAACUGACUCUUCCAAAUUGUAUGAAUGUAUUAAUGUAUUAGAUAAAACCAGUUUCAGAAUGAUAAAGAAAAAAUGUUAGACCAAAUAAUGCGGCUAAUUAACAGUGGUACAAUUUCUAGCCUGUGGGUUUAAAAUGAACUUAAAGUCCUAUUCUUGCCUUUUAUUUUCUGAACUUGCCACUUUCGCAUUCUUUGAGUUUGGUUUAAAGACAGUUACUAGCAUCUGUAACCAAUCUGACAAUAAUGUGUGCAUCAGGUGCCUAUGGAUUAAAUCACACAUUGGCACACUUAAGCUGAAUGUCAGUCUGGAAAAUAAAUUUACUAUAUUAACUGAAACACCACUCUUUGUGUAGGUAUUUGUCAUAUAUUUAAGAAAAAUCUAAAAAGAAUGGAAAUUGUAUGACAAUAACUUAAGUCUUUCUUCAAAGUGCAUGCAGUCUUUUGCGAUACUUCAUUCAGCCAAGUAUUUGUGCUUUUCCUCAUUCAGUACAAGGCAGCUUUCAAUUUGCUUAGAAGGCAACAUUGGAAGGUUAGAGUUAAUCAAAAACAUAGAAUUUUAAAAUGUGAGUUCAACUGAAUAAAUUUGAAUUUCUGUAGGAAGAAUCAAAACACCUAAAGAUUGAAAUAUAUAAUAAUCAUUUUAAAAGUAUUUGAUUAAACCUGAUAGGUUUUCCAGAAAUGAAAAAAAAUCAGCUCUAAAAUCAAAGCUGAUUUUUAGAAAAUUUGAAAAUGUAAAUCAGCCCCAUCCAUAAUAUAGUUUCUCAAAAACUUUAUCUUAAAGAGUCAUUUUUAAAUAAUAUAAUUAUUAAAAAAUAUAACUGCUAUCUUAAUGUUCUGAAAUAAGUUAAAACAUUUAAAAAUAUGAAUACUGUAGUUUAAAAGAAAGAAAUGGUGGGAAGGAAAAGUAGACAAAGAAAUGCCAAUUCCAGUCCAAAGCUUUAUUUGCCAAGUUUUCUUAGAAUGAAUUUUACCAAUUUAUGAAUUCUUAUAAACAUAAUGUAUAAUGGAAAUACUGAAACACUUUUGCCUAAAGUGGCAUUAUUGACUGCUGGCGUGAUGCUACUGUAAUGCAAUAAAUUAUUAAAUUGUUGCAAA